UGUGCUGUUACAAACCUCAAUUCUAGCUUGAAGCAAGCAUAAUGUGUUUAAUAUAUGCAUACUCUCUUCGAUAAAAAACAGGAUUCUAUAUAGAACCUUUUAGUCAAUUCAACAUUUUACUGUCAUUCUGAUUCAAAAACCAACUGCCAUUCCAGCAUGACAAAGCAAGAGGACGGUGGUUGAACCAACUUGCAAGUAGCUAACCAAUGAGCACAUUAUUUUUCAAUCUAUUAAGCAUUUCAGUGCGGAGUCAAUUGAAGGGACUAUGUUUUUUGAAGCCGUUAGAAAACUGUUGCUGACUGAGAGGAGUAACCCAGAACUGUCAGGCAAAGAAUCUCUCUUUCGGCUGUUGCUGACAAC